rnacentral:rRNA from 1 species
AGUGAACGCUGGCGGUAGGCCUAACACAUGCAAGUCGAACGGCAGCACAGUAAGAGCUUGCUCUUACGGGUGGCGAGUGGCGGACGGGUGAGGAAUACAUCGGAAUCUACUUUUUCGUGGGGGAUAACGUAGGGAAACUUACGCUAAUACCGCAUACGACCUACGGGUGAAAGCAGGGGAUCUUCGGACCUUGCGCGAUUGAAUGAGCCGAUGUCGGAUUAGCUAGUUGGCGGGGUAAAGGCCCACCAAGGCGACGAUCCGUAGCUGGUCUGAGAGGAUGAUCAGCCACACUGGAACUGAGACACGGUCCAGACUCCUACGGGAGGCAGAAGUGGGGAAUAUUGGACAAUGGGCGCAAGCCUGAUCCAGCCAUACCGCGUGGGUGAAGAAGGCCUUCGGGUUGUAAAGCCCUUUUGUUGGGAAAGAAAAGCAGCAGGUUAAUACCCCGCUGUUCGGACGGUACCCAAAGAAUAAGCACCGGCGAACUGCGU